GUUUUAUCAGCUCCUCAAAAGGAGCAAGCCUGGGACCUUGGCAGUUUGAAACAUUAUGAAGGAACCUGUUAUGAACAGAUGUGUAGGGGAAAGGUCAUUAUUGUGGGACGCUUGUGCAGGCUUAGGUCGCUGACUCACUGCUUUGGCAAAAGGCCGGCUUUGUUUAGGGGCUAUAAGAAUAAAGAGCCCGGCUAGCUCGGGGUAUAGAGUAUAGAGAAGAAGACUACUGCACAGCAACCGGUGUUCGUGUAUUCAUUUCGUCAGCAACAUCUGGCGCCCAACGUGGGUCUCGACCAGACUGAAAGGUUCUAGAUCUUUUUCAGGUUCAUCUGCAUAAGAAUAACACCUACACUGCAACUGCUUGCGUCAAAUUUCCCUAUUCCUUAUUAUCAGGGAAAAUUAUGUUAAAUGUUACAGAGGGAUAUGUAAAUUGUACUGCUGAUUGUGUCUUUACUCAAUGUGUAAACAAAACUUGGUGGGAGACAAUCAAAGAUACCAACAAAUCUGUAAUAAUUGUAAAAGCUCGUUCCGAGCUUUGGAUGCCUGUUAAUCUGACACGUCCUUGGUCUGACUCUAUUGCUGUUUCACAUCUGUAUGAUGCCCUUCAAGUUGUUCUACGUCGCUCCCGUCGACUAGUGGGAUUGAUCGUCACGACUAUCCUUGCGGUUGCAUCCGUUACUGCGACGGCCGCUGUGGCCAGCCUGGCACUGCAGCAAGAGAUACAAACUGCGGACUUUAUCAGGGAAUGGCAUAAAGACUCUCAUGCCUUAUGGCAACAGCAAAAGGACUUAGAUGCUCAAUUAGCUACAGAUGUAAUUAACUUGCAACAUACUGUAUCUUGGUUAGGAGAUCAACCGACAGUUCUUGCUACCCGCAGUAUAUUGAAAUGUGAUUGGAAUUCUACACAAAUGUGUCACCCCACUGCAUUUUAACAUGUCAGAAGGAUGGGAAAAGAUUAAGUGCUCUUUACGGGGUCAUCAAAAUUUAACUGCAGAGAUAAUGCAACUUGAACAAUCUCUUGCAGACACUUUCAGUAAAGAAUUGCCUAAAUUGACUGGGGAUGACCUGUUAAAGGGACCGCAGGAGGGGUUAAACCGUUUGAAUCCCUUGGGGCAUGUAAAUACGCUAUUGUCUACUUCUUUGGGAAAUCUGGUGCUAAUAUUGAUUUUAUGCUUGCUUCUCUAUGUAGUCUUCCGGCGCUGGAGAAAGCGACAACAACUAAAAGGUAUCGUUAAGACCGUUGCACAUGCUGUCCGUCAAAAUGCCAACAAAAGAGGGGGAGAUGAAGGAGACCUGGCAUGAAAUGUGGUUGUUCUUGCACGCGAGGCAUCCACAAGACUUGCUGGACUUUUCUGCAAACAGAAUGUUCUGCCUGGUGAACUCACAAGGCUCCAGGGAAAACAUUGCUUGCAAACAAGAAUGUUUUAUCAGCUCCUCAAAAGGAGCAAGCCUGGGACCUUGGCAGUUUGAAACAUUAUGAAGGAACCUGUUAUGAACAGAUGUGUAGGGGAAAGGUCAUUAUUGUGGGACGCUUGUGCAGGCUUAGGUCGCUGACUCACUGCUUUGGCAAAAGGCCGGCUUUGUUUAGGGGCUAUAAGAAUAAAGAGCCCGGCUAGCUCGGGGUAUAGAGUAUAGAGAAGAAGACUACUGCACAGCAA